AUUUACACUGAAUCCCUACUUCCCUUCUGGGAGCCCGGAAUUUUGGUACGUGCUACACAGCCAGUGCCUGCAUGGCCAGCCUCUAGUAAAACCCUAAGCUCUGAGCCUCUGACAAACUGUAGACAACACUUCAGUGUCAGAAUCCAGAGCUGGAGGGGUUAGGUGCAUGCUGUGUGGCUCCACUGGGAGAGGACUCUGCCCCUGCGCCUUUUCCCUUUGUUGAUUUUGCCUGGUGUCCUUUUGCUCUAAUCAGUCACAGCCGUGAGUAUGACUCUGUGCUGAGAACUGUGUGAGGAGGAAUCACCAAGCCUGUGGGUGGUCUUCCAGACCCUGAUCCAUUCACUCUUCUGUCCUCAACUGCAAGAGUCCUGCUGAAAGCCACAUACCUGCAUUGUCCAGUCUGACUGCUGCGGUUCUGUCCAUCUUCCCGAUUGGCUGUGCAUGUUCAGGUUGGAUCCUGAGCAUACUUCUUUGCUUAUUUUUCAGGCUCAAAGCCUGGGCCCCGAGCUGCAUGGCUACCUCUAGACAAAGGUGCUCUGCUUCGGGGGCAGAUGACAAUGGGACUCACAAGGCAGGAUUUCUGGCACACCAUCGUGAGAGAAGUCACAGAGCAUGAAGGCCAGGUGACAGACACUGCCGAGCAGUGACACGCAGCCAGCGGAAGAAGAGCCCAGAGUGGAACCUUGCAGGAACUUUCUUCUGGCGCCCAUUCCUUGUUGAGCAUCAGGGCAAUCCCCAGGGGUGCAAGAUCUCACAAGCCAGGUUGGCAAGAAGGGCCUCACCUGUGUUUCAGUCCUAGAUCGGGGGUGCCCUGCCAAGGACACUGUAUGUGUAUGGAAGCCCUCAGCUCUUUUCCAGGCCUUAGUCUCCCACGAGGAGUUCACACUGAGGAGGAUACAUUGGUGUAUGGUGGGUGCAAAGAUGGCUUUAGCAAGAACGCAUGCCUUGCGGGCUAUCAGUGGGUUCCCACUAAAUGGAAGCCCUACACAUGCAAGGAGUGUGGGAAGGCCUUUGGACAGACACACAUGUCAUUCAGCACCAGAGAACCCACACUGGCAAGAAGCUGUACACAUGCUGGCAAUGCGGACAGGCCUUCAGCAAGAACUCGUGCCUCGUAAGCACCGUGCAUCCACACAGGUGGAAAGCCCUAUGCGUGUGGCUACUGCAGCAAGCGCUUCUGAGAGAACUCAUCCCUGGCCAAGAACCAGCAGGUACACACAGGCAAGAAGCAUAUACCUGUGGCGAGUGCAGGCAUGCCUUCAGCCAGAGCACUCACCUCGUACAGCACCAGCGAGUCCACAUUGGGGAGAAGCUGUUCACCUGUCACGAGUGUGGCAGAGCCUUCACCAACUCCUCGGCCCUCCUGGUCCACCACAGAACCCACAGCCAUGUGUGUCCAUAUGAGUGUCACACAUGCUGCAAGGUGUUCAGCCUCAGCUCAUCCCUGACCGAGCACGAGCGCUGCCACACAGGAGAGAAGCCAUACACGUGCCAGGAAUGUGGGAAAGCCUUCAGCUAGAGCUAGUCCCUCAGCAAGCACCUGAGGACACACACGGGUGAGAAGCCAUAUGCAUGCAAUGCCUGUGGCCACGCCUUCAGCCAGAGUGCCUCCCUGGCCAAGCACCAGUGAGUGCACACCAGCGAGCGGCCCUACACGUGUGGAGAAUGUGGGAAGACCUUCAGCCAGAGCUCCUACUUGACCCAGCACCUCAAGAGCCAUAGUGAUGAGAAACCGUUUACAUGCGGUGAGUACAGGAAACCCUUCGGCAAUUCUUCAGCCCUGGUCCUGCAGCAAUGGGUGCACACGGGUGAGCAGCCCUACACGUGUGGAAAAUGCAGGAGGACUUUCAUCCAGAGCACGUUCCUCACUCAGCACAAGAGGAUCCACACUGGGGAGAAGCCUUUUGUUUGUGGAGACUGUGGAAGGGCCUUUGUUCAGAGCUUCUCCCUCACUCUCCACCUCAGGACACACGCCGGGGAGAAGCCCAACAAGUGCAACGAGUGUGGCAAGGCUUACAUCCAGAUGUCACACUUCACUGAGCACUACCGGGUGCACACGGGGGGAGCAGCCCUAUGCGUGCCAUGCAUGCAGCAAAGCCUUCAGCCGCAUCACCAGCGCGUCCACGUGGGUGCCAAGCCCUUCAUAUGCAGCCUGUGUCAGAAAACCUCCCUUGAGGCUGCGGCCCUUGUUCUGCAUCAGAGGAUUCAUGCCAGACAGGAGCCCUUUGAGUGUCACAAAUGUGGGAAAGCCUUCAGCUAGAGCAGAUCCCUGGCCCAGCAUUGGAGAAUUCAUUCCCAGGGGAUGCCAUGUGAGUGCAGCAACUAUCAAAAAACCCUUGGCAACUGUUUGGUUCUCAUCCAUCAGUGAACUGGGGAUGUGCCAGAUGGGGUAGAGACCUGCUGUCUGUCCUUGGUGUGUUGUUCUUCAUCCAACAGGGGGCCCUGUGAGUGGCAGGAACUGUGCAGAGCAGCCCCCUUGCACAUCAUAUACACUUCUCUCUGCAGGGUCACACGGUUGGGUGAGAAAGCGGAGUGAGCCUUCAAGAGGAACAACAGCCCCUCCCAUUCUCCAUGCUCCGGGUUCCACAGAUAUCCACCAGGUGGUAGGAGAGAUCCACAGCAACAUUCUUUUGUUUGACAGGCUCAAAGGUAUCCUGACACUCCUCACAGCUUCACUGCCUCCAUAACCUCUCCCCACACUAGGAUUUUCCAUGCUGGGGACUGACCAUUGCUUAAAUUCUUUUUCCCAGAAAAGCAAAUGUUGCCCUAUGUCCUCAGUAGGACCUCUGUUCCAGUUCCCUGAGUAGGCCUCAGGAGCGCCAAAGUGUGUGAACACAGACCCUCAUGAGAUCUCUUUUCUGACGACCUCCAUUAUUAUCCUCGGGAUGGAUUGCAGCAGGUCCUUGAAUAUGCUCUGUGGUUGCCUUCCUUGAUCAGAAAGAAACCAAGAUCACAAAUGUUAACUUUGUUGACUUUUCUGAACUGAAAGAAAGAAAUCAAAAGGAUUGAUGAUGUGGAUGGAAUUACUGGCUCAUUUCUUCACCCCUCCUCGUGUAUACACCUUUGGCCACAUUUGUGGUUCCUCUCACUAAAGACAGCAUGGAUACCCUUUCCUUAACUUUGGGUGUGGCCAUGUGACUCGUUUGGCCAAUGGAAUGUGAGUGGCAUUGCUAGUAUGUUAGUCUUGAGCCUGGGCGCAAGCCUGCUGGCAUCUCUACCAUCACCAUGAGCCCUACAAAACAAGUGCAACAAAGAUGGACCCAACCUGUAGCCUGGAGCCAAGCCCCAGCCAGAAUAGCCAAUCCUUAGACUCAUGAGAGGAAUAAGUGCUUAUUUCUGUCAGUAACUGAACUGUUGAAACUAUUCAUUACAGAGGAUAACUGAUUGAUACAGUGCCAAGUUAAAAUGAACACUUCCUCAAAAAGAUGAGGUUUGAAAUCUGGGGAGAGGAUGAGAAAGAGACAGAGAGGAAGAAAGGAAAGUCUAUUCAGGAAAGCCCAGAGGCCUAGAACACUGGUUGAAUAAUCAGAGAAUAAGCACAAAAGGGGUCUCCCAAGGGUCUGGAGUAUGGAGUUGAAGGGCCAUGGUGCAUAUGGAAGGUAAAUGAGAAUCCAGUUGUCUGUCCAUCUGCCAUUCAGUUAUUCAUUCCUUGUUCUUCAGCAAACUUUUCUUGUGCUGUGCUAAAGGCAAAGAGUACCUUGGCCUCAGGCCAUGGAAAGGGCAGGACUCCUCCCAGCUCUAACAGCACAGACUCACAAUCUGUACAGAGAGGAACGCCCUGAGGGAAGCUUCCAUGGAGUUUCCAGGGUCACCCCACACCUACUGUCAGUCUGGGCUCGUUCCUCCCUGGCACCUGGGUCUCCUCUAGAUGCUACCCUCUCUCUCCUCUCCUCAGGAGCCUCCCACAAAGUAUCCCCACAGUCAUACCAAUGCCCCUUCCACCCAUUAUGGAGUGAAGUGUGUCCCCCCCAAAUUCAUAUGUUAAUAUCCUAACCUAAGCCCUAGAAUGUGACUGUAUUUGGAUAUAGGACCUUUAAAGAGGUAAUUAACAUUAAACAAAGUCAUGUGGGUAGGCCCUGUUCCAGUAUGACUGGGAGAGAGAGACCAGGGGCAUGCUAAUGAGGAAAGGCCAUGGUGAGGACACAGCAAGAAAGUGGCCAUCUACUAACCAAGGAGGGAAGACUCAGGAGAAACCAACCCUGCCAACAACACUUUGAUCUUGGACUUCCAGCUUCCAGAGUGUGAGAAAAUAAAAGUUUAUUGUUUAAGUCA